GGGUUGUGAGGUUAAGCGACUAAGCGUACACGGUGGAUGCCCUGGCAGUCAGAGGCGAUGAAGGACGUGCUAAUCUGCGAUAAGCGUCGGUAAGGUGAUAUGAACCGUUAUAACCGGCGAUUUCCGAAUGGGGAAACCCAGUGUGUUUCGACACACUAUCAUUAACUGAAUCCAUAGGUUAAUGAGGCGAACCGGGGGAACUGAAACAUCUAAGUACCCCGAGGAAAAGAAAUCAACCGAGAUUCCCCCAGUAGCGGCGAGCGAACGGGGAGCAGCCCAGAGCCUGAAUCAGUGUGUGUGUUAGUGGAAGCGUCUGGAAAGGCGCGCGAUACAGGGUGACAGCCCCGUACACAAAAAUGCACAUACUGUGAGCUCGAUGAGUAGGGCGGGACACGUGGUAUCCUGUCUGAAUAUGGGGGGACCAUCCUCCAAGGCUAAAUACUCCUGACUGACCGAUAGUGAACCAGUACCGUGAGGGAAAGGCGAAAAGAACCCCGGCGAGGGGAGUGAAAAAGAACCUGAAACCGUGUACGUACAAGCAGUGGGAGCACGCUUCGGCGUGUGACUGCGUACCUUUUGUAUAAUGGGUCAGCGACUUAUAUUCUGUAGCAAGGUUAACCGAAUAGGGGAGCCGAAGGGAAACCGAGUCUUAACUGGGCGUUAAGUU
rnacentral:rRNA from 1 species